rnacentral:rRNA from 1 species
UACGUAGGGGGCCAGCGUUGUCCGGAAUCAUUGGGCGUAAAGCGCGCGUAGGCGGCCAGAUAAGUCCGGUGUGAAAGUCAAAGGCUCAACCUUUGAAUGCCGCUGGAAACUGUCUGGCUUGAGUCCGGGAGGGGCGAGUGGAAUUCCUGGUGUAGCGGUGAAAUGCGUAGAUAUCUGGAGGAACACCGGUGGCGAAGGCGGCAUCCUGGACCGACACUGACGCUGAGGAGCGAAAGCCAGGGGAGCAAACGGG